GACGAACGCUGGCGGCGUGCUUAACACAUGCAAGUCGAACGGAAAGGCCCUGCUUUUGUGGGGUGCUCGAGUGGCGAACGGGUGAGUAACACGUGAGUAACCUGCCCUUGACUUUGGGAUAACUUCAGGAAACUGGGGCUAAUACCGGAUAGGAGCUCCUGCUGCAUGGUGGGGGUUGGAAAGUUUCGGCGGUUGGGGAUGGACUCGCGGCUUAUCAGCUUGUUGGUGGGGUAGUGGCUUACCAAGGCUUUGACGGGUAGCCGGCCUGAGAGGGUGACCGGCAACAUUGGGAAUGAGAGACGGGCGGGAGUCCUUCGGGAGGCAGCAGUGGGGAAUAGUGAACACUGGGCGGAGGCCUGAUGCAGCAACGGCGCGUGCGGGAUGACGGCCGUCGGGUUGUAAAACGCAUGCGCCUGUGACGAAGCGGGAGUGAGGGUAAUGAGUAGAGAAACACCGGCGAACUACGUG
rnacentral:rRNA from 1 species